UCACUGUACAGUUGAUUCCUACUGUUUAUACAGGAAAAGGCUGUAAUUUUCUUUAGUGAGCAGGUCAUUUAUUGAAACGAGUAUUUACGGAGUCUGGGAAGUUUCAUAUUUAAACACUUGAUUUUCAGAGCAAACCCUGAGAGGCCGAGGUUGUUAUCUCCAUCUUACGGAUAAGAUAACCGAGGAACAGAAUGGGCCUCUCUAUCUAUCUAGUAAAUGGAAAAGGGAGGUGAAUUUGAACCCAGCUCUCAUUCCUUAUCCCUUAAUUGCCUCUCAUGUAGCAUAGAGCAUUGGAUUGAGAAUAAGGAAAUAGGAGUUCUGGUUUUGACCCUACUUCUCUAAAAUUCUCUACAAUUUCAUGCUAACUAAUGCAGGUAUAGAGAAACAGCAGACAAUCCCAAUCUUAUCAUACUUUAACGAUUUUUCAGCAAAAGUAUCUUUUUUUUCAUCUCCACCCCACCUGUUGUAGAAAGGAACCAACAAUUUCUCCCUGUAACCCUUCUGGACCUUUUUUCUGCAUCCCAGCCUUACAACGUUUAUCUAGUGUCAGUUUCAUUUAAGAGGUUUCUCCAGCAACAAUGAGCUGAUGAGUAUGAUUCACACUGCAAGUGUGCAUAGAGAAUCUACAAUGCUGGACAACUACACUUUAGGCACACGAAGUGAUUAAAACAAAGGAGGGGGGUAGAGGGGGAGGUAGAAGAGAUGUCAUUUCCAGAUUAGGGUGUCCCCAGAAGGCCCUUUUCUGAACAUUCAUUCAUUCAUUCAACAAAUACUUGAGAACCUAAGUGCUAGGCACUAGGGAUACAGAGAGAACAAGAGAGAUGACCCUGUUCUUUUGAGUAAACAUUCUAGAGCAGUUUCAGAUUGUGGAUGCAAAUACAAACAUAGUAUCCACAGAAAAGAUGAUAUAUACACAUAAGCAAACGCUCCAACCCUCAGAAGGGAUACAAAGAAGACAUUUGUUAUAAACUCUCUACAACUCAAAACUAGCUGGAAAAUAUGGGAAUCAGAAUCUGCAACCAGGGGUGCCUGGCUGGCUCAAUUGCUAGAGCAUGCAACUCUUGAUCUUGGUGGCGUGAACUGGAGCCCCAUAUUGAGUGCAGAGAUUACUUAAAAAUAAAACCUAAAAAAAAAAAAAAAGGAGGGGUGCCUGGAUGGUACAGUUGGUUAACUGUUUUUGUCUCAGGUCAUGAUCCCAGGGUGCUAGAAUGGAGCAGAGAUGUUAUGCGGGGAGCCUGCUUCUCCCUCUCCCUCCCACUCCCGCGUUUGUGCUCUGUCUCUGUAAAUAAAUAAAUAAAAUCUUAUUAAAAAAUAGGAAUCUGAAACCAGAUGUGGUAAUAUCAAAACUCUACUACAGUGAACAAUGAAAAGAGGCAUUAGGAACUAGCUAGGGAUGCAACAGACCUUCAUUGUUUAGUGUCAACUAUAGGUCUUAGUUGGGAAAAAAAUAUUUUUUUCUUUAAAGAUUUCAUUUAUUUAUUCAUGAGACACAGAGAGAGAGAGAGGCAGAGACAUAGGCAGAGGGAGAAGCAGGCUGCGUGCAGGAAGCCUGAUGUGGGACUCGAUCCUAGGACUCCAGGAUCAUGCCCUGGGCAGAAAGCAGGCGCUCAACCGCUGAGCCACACAGGCAGGAAAAAAAAAAAAUCCACCUGCUAAAACAAGCAAAAAAUUGCUAUUUACAACCACUACCUUUAAGUGGGAAAGAGGGAAGAUAUUAUUAAAGGAUCAACAUGUUGGCAAAUUCUUUGUGCUGUUUAACAAAGAAGAUGGCUGGGUUUUCUUUGUUUUUUUUUUUUUUUUUUAAGAUAUCUGUCUUUAAUCCACUGAACACUCUGCUAGCUAAUGAAUAGGUUCAAGUGGACCUGAGGCUGCUUGUAAAUAGAUUGGCAAAGAUGAAGUUUCGAAGGAAAGAGAAUUUUUGAGAAUUUGUAGUUCUCAGUGCCAAUCCUAGAGAAAGGGGUGUGUGUGCACAUGACACAGAGAAUGAAUAUGAAUGGAUGCCAAACUCCUGCUCUUUUUGUAGUUACCCCCGUCUCAGUAUGACAACUCCACCUUUCCAGUUGGUCAGGCCAAACACUGGGAAUCACCCAUGACUAUUCUCUUCCAAACUUACAGCAGAUCCUACUGCCUCCAAAUUCAAGAUAUAACUUCUCAUUACCUGACCCAAACCACUCUCAUCUCUUACCUUAUUACGAAAGCCAUUUCAAAUACAGAUGGCUAAAAGAACACUUUAAAACCUCAGCUACAAAAAAAAAAAAAA
rnacentral:lncRNA from 1 species